rnacentral:rRNA from 1 species
ACUCCUACGGGAGGCAGCAGUGGGGAAUAUUGGACAAUGGGCGAAAGCCUGAUCCAGCCAUGCCGCGUGUGUGAAGAAGGUCUUCGGAUUGUAAAGCACUUUAAGUUGGGAGGAAGAGCAUUAACCUAAUANCGUUAGUGUUUUGACGUUACCGACCAGAAUAAGCCCCGUAU